rnacentral:rRNA from 1 species
GGGUUGUGAGGUUAAGCGACUAAGCGUACACGGUGGAUGCCCUGGCAGUCAGAGGCGAUGAAGGACGUGCUAAUCUGCGAUAAGCGUCGGUAAGGUGAUAUGAACCGUUAUAACCGGCGAUUUCCGAAUGGGGAAACCCAGUGUGUUUCGACACACUAUCAUUAACUGAAUCCAUAGGUUAAUGAGGCGAACCGGGGGAACUGAAACAUCUAAGUACCCCGAGGAAAAGAAAUCAACCGAGAUUCCCCCAGUAGCGGCGAGCGAACGGGGAGCAGCCCAGAGCCUGAAUCAGUGUGUGUGUUAGUGGAAGCGUCUGGAAAGGCGCGCGAUACAGGGUGACAGCCCCGUACACAAAAAUGCACAUGCUGUGAGCUCGAUGAGUAGGGCGGGACACGUGGUAUCCUGUCUGAAUAUGGGGGGACCAUCCUCCAAGGCUAAAUACUCCUGACUGACCGAUAGUGAACCAGUACCGUGAGGGAAAGGCGAAAAGAACCCCGGCGAGGGGAGUGAAAAAGAACCUGAAACCGUGUACGUACAAGCAGUGGGAGCACGCUUAGGCGUGUGACUGCGUACCUUUUGUAUAAUGGGUCAGCGACUUAUAUUCUGUAGCAAGGUUAACCGAAUAGGGGAGCCGAAGGGAAACCGAGUCUUAACUGGGCGUUAAGUUGCAGGGUAUAGACCCGAAACCCGGUGAUCUAGCCAUGGGCAGGUUGAAGGUUGGGUAACACUAACUGGAGGACCGAACCGACUAAUGUUGAAAAAUUAGCGGAUGACUUGUGGCUGGGGGUGAAAGGCCAAUCAAACCGGGAGAUAGCUGGUUCUCCCCGAAAGCUAUUUAGGUAGCGCCUCGUGAAUUCAUCUCCGGGGGUAGAGCACUGUUUCGGCAAGGGGGUCAUCCCGACUUACCAACCCGAUGCAAACUGCGAAUACCGGAGAAUGUUAUCACGGGAGACACACGGCGGGUGCUAACGUCCGUCGUGAAGAGGGAAACAACCCAGACCGCCAGCUAAGGUCCCAAAGUCAUGGUUAAGUGGGAAACGAUGUGGGAAGGCCCAGACAGCCAGGAUGUUGGCUUAGAAGCAGCCAUCAUUUAAAGAAAGCGUAAUAGCUCACUGGUCGAGUCGGCCUGCGCGGAAGAUGUAACGGGGCUAAACCAUGCACCGAAGCUGCGGCAGCGACGCUGAUGCGUUGUUGGGUAGGGGAGCGUUCUGUAAGCCUGUGAAGGUGUACUGUGAGGUAUGCUGGAGGUAUCAGAAGUGCGAAUGCUGACAUAAGUAACGAUAAAGCGGGUGAAAAGCCCGCUCGCCGGAAGACCAAGGGUUCCUGUCCAACGUUAAUCGGGGCAGGGUGAGUCGACCCCUAAGGCGAGGCCGAAAGGCGUAGUCGAUGGGAAACAGGUUAAUAUUCCUGUACUUGGUGUUACUGCGAAGGGGGGACGGAGAAGGCUAUGUUGGCCGGGCGACGGUUGUCCCGGUUUAAGCGUGUAGGCUGGUUUUCCAGGCAAAUCCGGAAAAUCAAGGCUGAGGCGUGAUGACGAGGCACUACGGUGCUGAAGCAACAAAUGCCCUGCUUCCAGGAAAAGCCUCUAAGCAUCAGGUAACAUCAAAUCGUACCCCAAACCGACACAGGUGGUCAGGUAGAGAAUACCAAGGCGCUUGAGAGAACUCGGGUGAAGGAACUAGGCAAAAUGGUGCCGUAACUUCGGGAGAAGGCACGCUGAUAUGUAGGUGAAGUCCCUCGCGGAUGGAGCUGAAAUCAGUCGAAGAUACCAGCUGGCUGCAACUGUUUAUUAAAAACACAGCACUGUGCAAACACGAAAGUGGACGUAUACGGUGUGACGCCUGCCCGGUGCCGGAAGGUUAAUUGAUGGGGUUAGCCGCAAGGCGAAGCUCUUGAUCGAAGCCCCGGUAAACGGCGGCCGUAACUAUAACGGUCCUAAGGUAGCGAAAUUCCUUGUCGGGUAAGUUCCGACCUGCACGAAUGGCGUAAUGAUGGCCAGGCUGUCUCCACCCGAGACUCAGUGAAAUUGAACUCGCUGUGAAGAUGCAGUGUACCCGCGGCAAGACGGAAAGACCCCGUGAACCUUUACUAUAGCUUGACACUGAACAUUGAGCCUUGAUGUGUAGGAUAGGUGGGAGGCUUUGAAGUGUGGACGCCAGUCUGCAUGGAGCCGACCUUGAAAUACCACCCUUUAAUGUUUGAUGUUCUAACGUUGACCCGUAAUCCGGGUUGCGGACAGUGUCUGGUGGGUAGUUUGACUGGGGCGGUCUCCUCCUAAAGAGUAACGGAGGAGCACGAAGGUUGGCUAAUCCUGGUCGGACAUCAGGAGGUUAGUGCAAUGGCAUAAGCCAGCUUGACUGCGAGCGUGACGGCGCGAGCAGGUGCGAAAGCAGGUCAUAGUGAUCCGGUGGUUCUGAAUGGAAGGGCCAUCGCUCAACGGAUAAAAGGUACUCCGGGGAUAACAGGCUGAUACCGCCCAAGAGUUCAUAUCGACGGCGGUGUUUGGCACCUCGAUGUCGGCUCAUCACAUCCUGGGGCUGAAGUAGGUCCCAAGGGUAUGGCUGUUCGCCAUUUAAAGUGGUACGCGAGCUGGGUUUAGAACGUCGUGAGACAGUUCGGUCCCUAUCUGCCGUGGGCGCUGGAGAACUGAGGGGGGCUGCUCCUAGUACGAGAGGACCGGAGUGGACGCAUCACUGGUGUUCGGGUUGUCAUGCCAAUGGCACUGCCCGGUAGCUAAAUGCGGAAGAGAUAAGUGCUGAAAGCAUCUAAGCACGAAACUUGCCCCGAGAUGAGUUCUCCCUGACUCCUUGAGAGUCCUGAAGGAACGUUGAAGACGACGACGUUGAUAGGCCGGGUGUGUAAGCGCAGCGAUGCGUUGAGCUAACCGGUACUAAUGAACCGUGAGGCUUAACCUUACAACGCCGAAGCUGUU